rnacentral:rRNA from 1 species
UCUCCUGGAAACGGGUGGUAAUGCCGGAUGCUCCAGUUGAUCGCAUGGUCUUCUGGGAAAGCUUUCGCGGUAUGGGAUGGGGUCGCGUCCUAUCAGCUUGACGGCGGGGUAACGGCCCACCGUGGCUUCGACGGGUAGCCGGCCUGAGAGGGCGACCGGCCACAUUGGGACUGAGAUACGGCCCAGACUCCUACGGGAGGCAGCAGUGGGGAAUAUUGCACAAUGGGCGCAAGCCUGAUGCAGCGACGCCGCGUGAGGGAUGGAGGCCUUCGGGUUGUAAACCUCUUUUAUCGGGGAGCAAGCGAGAGUGAGUUUACCCGUUGAAUAAGCACCGGCUAACUACGUGCCAGCAGCCGCGGUAAUACGUAGGGUGCAAGCGUUAUCCGGAAUUAUUGGGCGUAAAGGGCUCGUAGGCGGUUCGUCGCGUCCGGUGUGAAAGUCCAUCGCUUAACGGUGGAUCCGCGCCGGGUACGGGCGGGCUUGAGUGCGGUAGGGGAGACUGGAAUUCCCGGUGUAACGGUGGAAUGUGUAGAUAUCGGAAAAGAACACCAAC